AUGUUCGGCGGCUCCAGGGACGACGCCGGCGGCGGCGGCGGGGACGUCCCGCACGAGAAGGUGGCCGCUGCCGCCGCGGCGGCGGCCGCCUCCGGGCACGCUACUAGGCGCGGAUUCAGCGUCCAGGUGCCCGUGCCGGUCGACCGGCCGGCGGCCGGGCCCGUGCUGGCCCCCUGCCCCGCUGGAGACGGCGGCGUCCAGGGCUUCCGGUGGUAUACAAGGAGGUUAAGGAUUGACGAAGAUGGCGACGUCGCCGACGAGUUCUUGGACGAGGUCCUCCCCGAAAGCUCGAACAACAACGACGCGAGCCCAGCUGGAAGGUUCCAGGUGAAAUACAACACGAGACCAACCGCUCUAGCGAUGAGGAAGCAAACGAUCGCCGUCGACGGCGACAUCCGCCAUUGCGUGGAGCACCAAGGGCAGCUCCAGUGGGUGUGA
rnacentral:rRNA from 1 species